UGUGGAAGUCUCUCAAGCACUGCCUUCGCUUCUCCCCACUUAGCGCAGGUACCCCGAGGCUGUGGUUCCCGGAAUCGCCUCUGUCUCACCCCUCAGUGUAUUGCCCAAGCAGGAAGGAAGGUGUGACUCAGGGGCCUCAGGAUCUGGCCUACCUCCAAGGUUCUGGGAUGAGACCCAUGACGCUGAACUCGAAGCUGACUUACAGAUGAAUAACUGGGAAUUACUCAGUGCAGGCUUGGCUUACUGCAGUGGAUUGAGAGAGUGGCACCUCCUUCUCCCUGCCUGAAAGAGCCACAUCAGUGAACAGUCUGGGAGACUUCCUGGGGAGAACAUUCACUCUGAGAUGUAACAUGAGUUGCCCCCUUUUCGGGGGCUGUGCCCUCCCAAGUCUGUAAGGAUGCCCCGGGAGUCUCUUCAUCCACAGUGUUAAGCCUUCCUACUUGCUGACUCUGUUCUCCAAAACUUUCAAGGAGAGAGCCUCCCUUCCUUUUCCUUGUGUCCUGCAGCACUGUCCUCAGACAUAACAGCUAUGGUCACCAUAGCAGCCCUGACUGCUUGCAGGAGACCUUCAGGAUUGGGCUUGUUGACUGUUGACGUUCCUGCAUUGAAAGAGGGGUGUGCGCUGCCAGGCCUGUCAUCCCAGCACUCUGGGAGGCAGAGGCAGGCAGAUCACUGCGAGGUCGAGGCCUGGGUAACUCCAUGUGUGCUGCUAAGAGGACUCCGUCAUCCACGCUGGGGUGCAGCUUUUUGGUGGUCCCGCUGCUUUCAGUGUCAGCCCUAAGUAAGCCCAAUAAACUCAUUGGAGUUCCUCAAA